AUGGGGAUAAAGCGGCCGGGCCAAUGCGGCGCGGCGGCGGCGCUGGCCCUGCUUCUCGUCCUCCUCGUCGCCGCGCCGCCGCGGGGAUGCGUUGGGGCUGAGGGGAGCGGCGGGGGAGGAGCGCUCACGAGGGGGAGCUUCCCCAAGGGGUUCGUCUUCGGCACCGCCUCCGCCGCGUACCAGUACGAGGGGGCGGUGAAGGCGGACGGGAGAGGGCAGACCAUCUGGGACACCUUCGCGCACACCUUCGGAAAGAUCAGUGACUUCAGCAACGCCGACGUCGCCGUGGAUCAGUACCACCGUUUCGAGGAGGACAUACAGCUGAUGGCGGACAUGGGGAUGGACGCGUACCGCUUCUCCAUCGCCUGGGCCAGGAUCCUCCCAAAUGGUGUUGGUCAGGUCAACCAGGCCGGCAUCGACCACUACAACAAACUCAUCAACGCACUGCUCGCUAAAGGGAUUCAGCCAUAUGUGACCCUGUACCACUGGGACCUCCCCCAGGCUCUGGAGGACAAGUACAACGGGUGGCUCGACAGGCAGAUUGUCGACGACUUCGCGGAGUACGCCGAGACGUGCUUCGCGGCGUUCGGGGACCGGGUGAAGCACUGGAUCACGGUGAACGAGCCGCACACGGUGGCCAUCCAGGGCUACGACGCCGGGCUGCAGGCGCCGGGGCGCUGCUCCGUGCUGCUCCACCUCUACUGCAAGUCCGGCAACUCCGGCACCGAGCCCUACAUCGUCGCCCACAACUUCAUCCUCGCCCACGCCGCCGUUUCCCGCGUAUACAGGACCAAGUACAGGGCGGCGCAGGACGGGCAGCUCGGCAUGGCGUUCGACGUGAUGUGGUACGAGCCCAUGUCGUCGGCCGCGAUCGACGUCGAGGCGACGAAGCGGGCGCAGGAGUUCCAGCUGGGGUGGUUCGCCGACCCCUUCUUCUUCGGCGACUACCCGGCCACCAUGCGGAAGCGGGUCGGGGAGAGGCUGCCCCGGUUCACGGCGGAGGAGGCCGCGCUCGUCAAGGGGGCGCUCGACUUCGUCGGGAUCAACCACUACACGACGUACUACACCAGGCACAACGACACCGACAUCAUCGUCCGCCUGCUCAACGACACCCUCGCCGACACCGGCACCAUCAGCCUCCCAUUCAAGAACGGCAGAGCGAUUGGGGACAGGGCGAACUCGAUAUGGUUGUACAUUGUGCCCAGAGGGAUGAGGAGCCUGAUGAACUAUGUCAAGAACAGGUACAACAGCCCACCAAUCUACAUCACCGAAAACGGGAUGGAUGACAGCAACAGCCCCUUCAUUGCCCUCAAGGACGCCCUCAAGGACACCAAGCGGAUAAAGUACCACAACGACUACCUCACCAAUCUGGCCGCCUCCAUAAAGGAGGACGGGUGCGACGUGCGCGGCUACUUCGCGUGGUCGCUGCUGGACAACUGGGAGUGGGCGGCCGGGUACUCGUCCAGGUUCGGGCUCUACUUCGUCGACUACAACGAUAAGCUCAAGAGGUACCCCAAGAGCUCGGUGCAGUGGUUCAAGAGCCUCCUCCACUCCAGUUGA
rnacentral:rRNA from 1 species